rnacentral:rRNA from 1 species
GACGAACGCUGGCGGCGUGCUUAACACAUGCCAGUCGAACGGAAAGGCCCUGCUUUUGUGGGGUGCUCGAGUGGCGAACGGGUGAGUAACACGUGAGUAACCUGCCCUUGACUUUGGGAUAACUUCAGGAAACUGGGGCUAAUACCGGAUAGGAGCUCCUGCUGCAUGGUGGGGGUUGGAAAGUUUCGGCGGUUGGGGAUGGACUCGCGGCUUAUCCGCUUGUUGGUGGGGUAGUGGCUUACCAAGGUUUUGACGGGUAGCCGGCCUGAGAGGGUGACCGGCCACAUUGGGACUGAGAUACGGCCCAGACUCCUACGGGAGGCAGCAGUGGGGAAUAUUGCACAAUGGGCGGAAGCCUGAUGCAGCAACGCCGCGUGCGGGAUGACGGCUUUCGGGUUGUAAACCGCUUUCGCCUGUGACGAAGCGUGAGUGACGGUAAUGGGUAAAGAAGCACCGGCUAACUACGUG